GCUCCGCCCCCCGCCCCCCACCCCCCAACCCUCUUACUCUGCCUAUGGCUCUCGCUCCGCCUCCGGCGAUGGAUCCCCGUGCGUGGCUGCCGUGCAUGGACAUGGCUAGUCCGCCGGAGACACGAAUCCUGCAUGUGGCCGUCGUCGUCGGCACACCUCUAUUUUUCUCUGUAUUGUCACUGUCCCCUCCUGUGGAUCGAUCUAACCUUGCUCCUCCUUCCGUCGUCGUCGUAGGCCUGGUUGUUGGCCGGUGGCCGCCAUUAAUACGCAAUUGAUGCUCCUCCUUCCGUCGCAGCUAACCGUGAUUUUUUCGCUCACAAUUUCUCUUCUCCGUGUAGAUCUUCCCUUGGUGGCGCUUGCAUCUUCACAUGGCAUAAGAUCGAAGGAUCCUAUGAACCCAGGCCGUCAUGAACGGUCAUCCACCCCGCCGGAGAUUGGUAUUGCUUGCAUGUUCACAGGACCAUGGACCGAGGAUUUCCUGAACACGAUGAACAUCCUAGGUUUUCGAUGUUUGUUUUCCUCGCUCUACGCGGGGAGAUCUCAUUCUGACCCUGCCCUAGCUCUGUUCUCUACAAACCCUGACCUACUGCUGCCGUUUUGGGGCUGCUACCGAAGUUUCUGUUCAUGACAGUUCCAGAAGAUAAGUUCACUGCUUGCAGAUGUCGUUCUGGGGCGAUUGGAACAAGGGAGGGGGGUCUGGCCACAAGCCUCUCUACUGGCUUGGAGCUGGGAAUCUGAAUCUGGAUAAAGAGCCUACUCUGGACGAACUGGAUGUGGAGAAUGUGGGGAAGCUGUCCACCGUCUGGAGAGGUUGAGUCAAUGUUCAGGAACUGGAGGAGUUCCUCCCCCCUCCUCCGGAGGAGUUGACUGUUGGCAGGGAUGAGGUUACCGUGAGAGAUGUUGGUACUUACUGGGGCAAGUGCAGGGAGGGGUCCAUACUGAGAAGAUGGAUUGCUUGCAACUCCCUUGCCGGUCAUCAUGGCAAAUCCCCACUGGACUACCCGCAACUGAAGAAGGUUCAGAAUGCCAUCCGUGAUUUGUUUGACAAGGUUGCUUCAGAGAUACAUGGUUUUAAGGGCCACCCAUACCUUCUCGAAGAAGUGGUUAUUCUUGCCCCAGAGCCCGCGCCUAAGAGCUCUCGCAAGUCCAAGCAAAAAGCUAAGGGAGCGUUCGGAAUCCCUCCACUCCCGAGUCAGCUCGCGGAGCCGGCGGAGCUGCAGGCUGAAAAGGUGGAGCUGGGAUAUACGCGCUCCGCAGAUCCGCGGAGCUGGCGGAAGGCCGAACAGGCCCUAAGAAGAAGAAGUGAAAAUGAAGCCACUCUAAAUCUCAUACGCCUAAGAGCUCUCUGAAGACAAGCAAAACCAGAAGAAGUGAAAACGAAGCCUCUAAAUCUCAUACCAGUUUUGGCAAGACUUCUAUCAUCUUGAGACUGUUAUCAUGCUUUCUCAGUUUUAAGUUUCUUGUCGAAUGCUAUUAUUGGUUCUUUUCACUAUCGGUUUUGUGAAUCACAUACAAAGCUGGGAUGGAAGAAUGAAAUGUCUGGAUCGUCUUUUGGUUUUU